rnacentral:rRNA from 1 species
UACGGGGGGGGCAAGCGUUGUUCGGAAUUACUGGGCGUAAAGGGCCAGUAGGCGGCCAACUAAGUCGGAUGUGAAAUCCCCAGGCUUAACCUGGGAACUGCAUCCGAUACUGGAAGGCUUGAAUCCGGGAGAGGGAUGCGGAAUUCCAGGUGUAGCGGUGAAAUGCGUAGAUAUCUGGAGGAACACCGGUGGCGAAGGCGGCAUCCUGGACCGGCAUUGACGCUGAGGCGCGAAAGCCAGGGGAGCAAACGGG